rnacentral:rRNA from 1 species
AUGAACGCUAGCGGCAGGCCUAACACAUGCAAGUCGAGGGGCAGCGAGGAGUAGCAAUACUCUGUCGGCGACCGGCGCACGGGUGCGUAACGCGUAUGCGACCUACCUAUAACAGGGAGAUAACCCAGAGAAAUUUGGACUAAUAUCCCAUAUUAUUAUUGAGCUGCAUGGUUUGAUAAUGAAAGACGCGAGUUGGUUAUAGAUGGGCAUGCGUGACAUUAGCUAGUUGGUAAGGUAACGGCUUACCAAGGCGACGAUGUCUAGGGGAACUGAGAGGUUAAUCCCCCCACACUGGUACUGAGACACGGACCAGACUCCUACGGGAGGCAGCAGUGAGGAAUAUUGGUCAAUGGUCGGAAGACUGAACCAGCCAUGCCGCGUGAAGGAAGAAUGUCCUAUGGAUUGUAAACUUCUUUUGUAAGGGAGCAAUAAGUUCCAUGCGUGGGAUGAUGAGAGUACCUUACGAAUAAGCAUCGGCUAACUCCGUG